UCAUGGUUUAGUGAGGUCCUCCGAUUGGUACCCGGUCCGGGCGGCGACGUCCGAGCCGGCGUCCGAGAAGACGAUCUAACUUGAUCAUUUAGAGGAAGUAAAAGUCGUAACAAGGUUUCCGUAGGUGAACCUGCGGAAGGAUCAUUA
rnacentral:ncRNA from 1 species